GACGAACGCUGGCGGCGUGCUUAACACAUGCAAGUCGAACGGAAAGGCCCUGCUUUUGUGGGGUGCUCGAGUGGCGAAAGGGGGAGUCAGACGAGAGUAACCUGACCUUGACUUUGGGAUAACUUCAGGAAACUGGGGAUAAUACCGGAAAGGCGCUACAGCUGCACGGUGGGGGUCGGAAAGUUUCGGCGGUUGGGGAUGGAGUCGCGGCUUAUCAGCUUGCUGGUCGGGUGGUGGCUUGCGAAGGCGUCGACGGGUAGGCGGCCGGAGAGGUUGACCGGCCACACUGCGACUACGACACGGCCCAGACGCCUACGGGAGGCAGCAGUGGGGGAUAGUGCACUAUGGCCGCAAGGCUGAGGCAGCGACGCCGCGUUUGGGAUUGCAACCUUCUUGCGACAGACAGCUAGCCCCCUGGUUGAAGGGGGAGUGACGGUAGUGGUAGAAGAAGCACCGGCUAACUACGUG
rnacentral:rRNA from 1 species